GAGAGUCCUAAAACAAUAGUCCAGAAAUCCCAAGUAGGUUCAUGGUCUGCUGGCCCUCAGAAGAGAUAUUGUCCUCUCACCUCUUCGACCACUAAAGUCCCCAAGUCUUCCUCCACCGCCUUCCAGGAGUUUCAGAGGAAAUUCCAGCAGCUAUCCCAAGACUAGUUUGUAUUCCCUCCUGUUAUGAAAUGGAGGAGUGGAGUGAGGAUUGUUGACAAUCUGAUUCUUGUAACACGUUUCCCAUGGGAAUAUAGGCUGUGUACAAUUUCUGUUUUUUGUUUAUGAUUACCUUUUUUAUAACAAAAAAUGCAGAAAUGCAGAAAUUGACCUUAUUGUGGUAAGGUUGGGCAGUUCAUAAUACAGUUAUUUAUCGUAGUUAUCAUUUUAUAUUCUUAAAUGACUUAGCCAAUAUAUCUGACAGUAUCCUCUACCUCAGGCCUGACGGGUAACAUUGCGAGACUUUGUCAUUAAAAAACAUGAACUAAAGUUUUGUGGGCCAUUGGGUGGCAAUUUAUUUUAUUUUAUUUUUUAAGUUUGGGGUAAACUGUAUUUUAUGCAAACCUCAUGUUUACUGUUUGAAUGUUUCACAGAAUGUGAACUAUGACAAAUUCACUGCAGUUUGUUUGAAUUUGUAGGCUACAUAAUUUCAUCUCUUGACUCUUACUUUCUACAAUCUCAUACCUUUUCAAUGGUUACAUUAUCAAUAGUUAUUUUGCUGGAGUUUAAAUCGAUUCCUUUUGUUGCCACAGGAUGAGCAGUACUGUACAGUUCAAGAUACU